UCCGCAAUGGGCGCAAGCCUGACGGAGCAAGACCGCGUGAGGGAGGACGGUCUGUGGAUUGUAAACCGCUUUUGUCAGGGAAGAAGAUCUGACGGUACCUGAGGAAUCAGCAUCGGCUAACUCCGUGCCAGCAGCCGCGGUAAUACGGAGGAUGCAAGCGUUAUCCGGAAUUAUUGGGCGUAAAGCGUCCGCAGGUGGCUAGUCAAGUCUGCUGUCAAAGGUCGGAGCUCAACUCCGUAAAGGCAGUGGAAACUGCAUAGCUAGAGUGCGGUAGGGGUAGAGGGAAUUCCCAGUGUAGCGGUGAAAUGCGUAGAGAUCGGGAAGAACACCAGUGGCGAAAGCGCUCUGCUGGGCCUGCACUGACACUGAGGGACGAAAGCUAGGGGAGCGAAUGGGAUUAGAUACCCC
rnacentral:rRNA from 1 species